GCUGCAUUAAGUACAUCUGAAUGAAAUUCUUAUGCAUCAGAGUCCAUAUUGGAAAUCAUGAGCAAAGUGAUAGAGUGAGUAGAAAGAAGAAAGGUUUUAUCCAGGAACUAGAAUAAACUGGAAAAGUAUUGAAGACUGGAACAAAAUAAGAGAAACCACAGCAAAUAUGUCUUGGAAGAAAUGUCAACAACACAGGAAAAUGCAGUCUUUGGCUCCUCGGUGCCCAGGAGUAAUUAAUACUGUUCACUAUGGAGAAGUGACUCUGACAGAGAAGGGAUUUUCACAGGUACAACCAGGAAAAACUUGACAAAAGUGAUUUUUGAGUAUCAGUGGAUCUUGAAAAGGGGGAGUUAUUUAUUUCAUGAAUAAGAAUAUAAGAGCAUUCAGA
rnacentral:lncRNA from 1 species